AUAUAGCUGACGAGUCCCAAACAGGACGAAACACGAGUCCUCCAU
rnacentral:hammerhead_ribozyme from 1 species